rnacentral:rRNA from 1 species
GACGAACGCUGGCGGCAUGCUUAACACAUGCAAGUGGAGCGACGAACCUUUUUGGGGCAAAGCCGCGAACGGGUGAGUAACACGUGGGUAAUGUACCCCGAAGACUGGAAUAACCCGGGGAAACUCGGGCUAAUACCGGAUGUGCUCUCUCUUCACAAGAAGAGCGAGUAAAGGUAGCUUCGGCUAUCCGCUUUGGGAGCGGCCCGCGGUCCAUUAGCUUGUUGGUGAGGUAACGGCUCACCAAGGCGACGAUGGAUAGCUGGUCUGAGGGGACGAUCAGCCACACUGGAACUGAGACACGGUCCAGACUCCUACGGGAGGCAGCAGUGGGGAAUCUUGCACAAUGGGCGACAGCCUGAUGCAGCAAUGCCGCGUGAGGGAAGACGGCCUUCGGGUUGUAAACCUCUUUCAGUUGGGAUGAAGGUUUGGCGGUGAAUAGCCGUUCGGACUGACCGUACCUUCAGAAGAAGCCCCGGCUAACUACGUGCCAGCCGCCGCUGUAA